rnacentral:rRNA from 1 species
AACGCGAAGAACCUUACCUACCCUUGACAUGUCUGGAAUCCCGAAGAGAUUUGGGAGUGCUCGAAAGAGAGCCGGAACACAGGUGCUGCAUGGCUGUCGUCAGCUCGUGUCGUGAGAUGUUGGGUUAAGUCCCGCAACGAGCGCAACCCUUGCCAUUAGUUGCUACGAAAGGGCACUCUAAUGAGACUGCCGGUGACAAACCGGAGGAAGGUGGGGAUGGCGUCAAGUCCUCAUGGCCCUUAUGGGUAGGGCUUCACACGUCAUACAAUGGUCGGGACAGAGGGUAGCCAACCCGCGAGGGGGAACCAAUCCCAGAAACCCGAUCGUAGUCCGGAUCGCAGUCUGCAACUCGACUGCGUGAAGUCGGAAUCGCUAGUAAUCGCGGAUCAGCAUGUCGCGGUGAAUACGUUCCCGGGUCUUGUACACACCG